rnacentral:rRNA from 1 species
UUGGCGGACGGGUGAGUAACGCGUGGAAAACCUGCCGUAUACUGGGGGAUAACACUUAGAAAUAGGUGCUAAUACCGCAUAAGCGCACAGCUUCGCAUGAAGCGGUGUGAAAAACUCUGGUGGUAUACGACGGUUCCGCGUCUGAUUAGCUAGUUGGUGGGGUAAUGGCCUACCAAGGCAACGAUCAGUAGCCGGCCUGAGAGGGUGAACGGCCACAUUGGGACUGAGACACGGCCCAAACUCCUACGGGAGGCAGCAG